UACAGAGGUCCCAAGCGUUGUUCGGAUUCAUUGGGCGUAAAGGGUGUGUAGGUGGCGCCGUUAGUCGGGUGUGAAAUUUCGGAGCUUAACUCCGAAACUGCAUUCGAUACUGCGGUGCUUGAGGACUGGAGAGGAGACUGGAAUUCAUGGUGUAGCAGUGAAAUGCGUAGAGAUCAUGAGGAAGACCAGUGGCGAAGGCGGGUCUCUGGACAGUUCCUGACACUGAGACACGAAGGCCAGGGGAGCAAACGGG
rnacentral:rRNA from 1 species